CACCGCGGUUAUACGAGAGGCCCAAGUUGAAAGAAUACGGCGUAAAGCGUGAUUAAUAGCACAUACUACUAAAGUCGAACCCCUUCAAGGCUGUCACACGCUCCCGAAAGGGGGAAGCCCACCAACGAAAGUAACUUUAAACUAUAUGAAUUCACGAAAGCUACGAAA
rnacentral:rRNA from 1 species